ACCCGCUGAACUUAAGCAUAUCAAUAAGCGGAGGAAAAGAAACUAACAAGGAUUCCCCUAGUAACGGCGAGUGAAGCGGGAAAAGCUCAAAUUUGAAAUCACAUAGGUUUUACCUGUGCGAAUUGUAGUUUAUAGAAACGUUUUCGGGGGCGGCUUGGAUAUAAGUCCUUUGGAAAGAGGCAUCAUAGAGGGUGAUAAUCCCGUAAAUGGUCCAAUGUCCGCUCCUAUGUGAUGCGUUCUCAAAGAGUCAGGUAGUUUGGGAUUGCUGCCUAAAAUGGGUGGUAAAUACCAUCUAAAGCUAAAUAUUGGCGAGAGACCGAUAGCGAACAAGUACCGUGAGGGAAAGAUGAAAAGAACUUUGAAAAGAGAGUUAAACAGUACGUGAAAUUGCCAAAAGGGAAACGCUUGGAACCAGUAUUGUUUGCAAGUAAUCAAGUACACGUUCCGAGAGGGCCCCGUGUGGUGCACUUGCUUGCGGACAGGCCAACAUCAGUUUGAUUUGGGGUAAAAAGCCUGAGAAAGGUAGCUUGGCUUCGGCUGAGUGUUAUAGUCUCUGGUCAUGCCUUGGAUUGGACUGAGGACUGCAGCGUUUUUUGGGUACCCGAUUGCCUCCUUUCUUCAUCUUUCUUUAGACAGCAUGCUGACUCUAGAAGUGAAGGGGGAGCCCGGUCGGUUUGCUACACCAGCGCUUAGGAUGUUGGCGAAAUGGUUCCAAACGACCCGUCUUGAAACACGG
rnacentral:rRNA from 1 species